GACGAACGCUGGCGGCGUGCUUAACACAUGCAAGUCGAACGGAAAGACCCUGCUUUUGUGGGGUGCUCGAGUGGCGAACGGGUGAGUAACACGUGAGUAACCUGCCCUUGACUUUGGGAUAACUUCAGGAAACUGGGGCUAAUACCGGAUAGGAGCUCCUGCUGCAUGGUGGGGGUUGGAAAGAUUCGGUGGUUGGGGAUGGACUCGCGGCUUAUCAGCUUGUUGGUGGGGUAGUGGGUUACCAAGGCUUUGACGGGUAGCCGGCCUGAGAGGGGGACCGGCCACAUUGGGACUGAGAUACGGCCCAGCCUCCUACGGGAGGCAGCGGUGGGGAAUAUUGCACAAUGGGCGGAAGCCUGAUGUAGCAACGCCGCGUGCGGGAUGAGGGCCUUCGGGUUGUAAACCACUUUCGCCUGUGACGAAGCGUGAGUGACGGUAAUGGGUAAAGAAGCACCGGCUAACUACGUG
rnacentral:rRNA from 1 species